rnacentral:rRNA from 1 species
GGCUCAGGAUGAACGCUAGCUACAGGCUAACACAUGCAAGUCGAGGGGCAGCAUGGGAGUUGCUGCAACUCUGAUGGCGACCGGCGCACGGGUGAGUAACGCGUAUCCGACCUUCCCCCAGGUAGGGAACAGCCCGGCGAAAGUCGGAUUAAUGCCCUAUAGUCUGCGAAUUGCGCAUGUUGUUUGCAGUAAAGAUUUAUCGCCUUGGGAUGGGGAUGCGUCUGAUUAGCUUGUCGGCGGGGUAACGGCCCACCGAGGCAACGAUCAGUAGGGGUUCUGAGAGGAAGGUCCCCCACACUGGUACUGAGACACGGACCAGACUCCUACGGGAGGCAGCAGUGAGGAAUAUUGGUCAAUGGGCGCGAGCCUGAACCAGCCAAGUAGCGUGCAGGACGAACCGGCCCUAUGGGUUGUAAACUGCUUUUAUGCGGGGAUAACGUGCGCCACGUGCUGGUGUAUUGCAGGUACCGCAUGAAUAAGGACCGGCUAAUUCCGUGCCAGCCGCUGC